UACGUAGGGUGCGAGCGUUAAUCGGAAUUACUGGGCGUAAAGCGUGCGCAGGCGGUUUUGUAAGUCAGAUGUGAAAUCCCCGGGCUUAACCUGGGAACUGCGUUUGAAACUACAAGGCUAGAGUGUGGCAGAGGGGGGUGGAAUUCCACGUGUAGCAGUGAAAUGCGUAGAGAUGUGGAGGAACACCGAUGGCGAAGGCAGCCCCCUGGGUUAAUACUGACGCUCAGGCACGAAAGCGUGGGGAGCAAACAGG
rnacentral:rRNA from 1 species